UGGUGUAAUCGGAAGCAUACUCGACUCAUAUUCGAGAUGUCCAGGGUUCAAGUCCUUG
rnacentral:tRNA from 1 species